rnacentral:rRNA from 1 species
UGGGGAAUUUUGGACAAUGGGCGAAAGCCUGAUCCAGCAAUGCCGCGUGUGUGAAGAAGGCCUUCGGGUUGUAAAGCACUUUUGUCCGGAAAGAAAUCCUCUGGGUUAAUACCUCGGGGGGAUGACGGUACCGGAAGAAUAAGCACCGGCUAACUACGUGCCAGCAGCCGCGGUAAUACGUAGGGUGCAAGCGUUAAUCGGAAUUACUGGGCGUAAAGCGUGCGCAGGCGGUUUUGUAAGACGGAUGUGAAAUCCCCGGGCUUAACCUGGGAACUGCAUUCGUGACUGCAAGGCUAGAGUAUGGCAGAGGGGGGUAGAAUUCCACGUGUAGCAGUGAAAUGCGUAGAGAUGUGGAGGAAUACCGAUGGCGAAGGCAGCCCCCUGGGCCAAUACUGACGCUCAUGCACGAAAGCGUGGGGAGCAAACAGGAUUAGAUACCCUGGUAGUCCACGCCCUAAAACGAUGUCAACUAGUUGUUGGGGAUUCAUUUCCUUAGUAACGUAGCUAACGCGUGAAGUUGACCGCCUGGGGAGUACGGUCGCAAGAUUAAAACUUAAAGGAAUUGACGGGG